UACGAAGGGGGCUAGCGUUGUUCGGAUUUACUGGGCGUAAAGCGCACGUAGGCGGAUUGUUAAGUCAGGGGUGAAAUCCUGGAGCUCAACUCCAGAACUGCCUUUGAUACUGAGGAUCUUGAGUUCGGGAGAGGUGAGUGGAACUGCGAGUGUAGAGGUGAAAUUCGUAGAUAUUCGCAAGAACACCAGUGGCGAAGGCGGCUCACUGGCCCGAUACUGACGCUGAGGCACGAAAGCGUGGGGAGCAAACAGGG
rnacentral:rRNA from 1 species